UUUUUUUUAUUUUUUAUAGUUUUUAAUUAUAGUUAUUUUAUCGUAUUUCAUUUUCUUUUUCAUCUAAAAUUCAUAUUAUAUAUCAUGCUUUUUACCAAUUAUUAUUAUUAUAUAAAGUUUAAUAAUUGUAAAUAAGUUAGCUGUUUAAAAAAAAAAAAAAAAAAAAAAAUUAUUUCCCUUAUUUAUUUACAAUUAAAAAUUAAUAAUAGACUCAACGCUAAUAAGAUUGUUCUUAAAGAUGAUAUUUUUUAUAGACACUCAAGUACUAAUUUAAGGGUCGUUUACAUGAUGCUUAUUUCUUAGUAAUUAGAUUAUAGUGGGCCGUUCGCGUAUUUGCUACUAAGGAAAAAAAAAAUAAACAUCAAAAAAACUAUUUUUUUUUUUGUUUGUGAGAUUUUAAAAUCACAACCGCCGAACUUAUUGGACAACUAUAGUUGGCUAUUUUAUUUGUUAACGGCUGAACUAGCAUUGUGUAAACGACAAAACCUAGUCGUCGACUCACUUAGCUCAACUAACUGUUCCUCCGUGAACGCCGUAUGUUUUCUAUUUCGUAUUGUAUUCUCCACUAGCUAUUCUCAUUAGGCAGUAGUCUACUCUUGUGGUAGUACUAGUCUACUAGUCUUGAGUAAAAAACCAAUUGGGUAAACGACCCUUUCACUACCAGCCAUUGUGAUAAUAAAACAUAUUUUAAUUUAGAAUUAUCGUUAUCAUUUGUACGGCGUCCAAUAUUAUGAUGUAGGAAACAUUCGUGUUUCACUCCGUCAGAGUCACGGACAACAGCAUAUAAUGUGAUAAUAUACGAUAAACUUUUUGAAAAAACCGGAGAGCAAUGUAGGUAAUGUUUUUUACCCGCAUACAAAUAUCUAUUGUCUCAUGCGAAUACCACUAACUAAGUAUCUCUAUCCAGCACAAGCAUUUUUCACAUUUUGUACACGUUUAUAAAUUUUAUUGUCUUCCAUGGAAAUAUUAUUGUAAUCAAUAUGCACAAUUUAAUGACGAGAGUCAUGGAUUUAUUAUACACACACAAUUUUUAACGUCGUUUGUAUUAUUAAAUAAUAAUAUAGCAACUAUCCCAAAGAUAAUAAUUUUUAUUAAAUUGUAUUUUUAUUUUUACUAUAUUACGCAUCAUAACUACAGACUGUACCGUUGGAAUUCCAUUUAUUUUCAUUUUUUUUUUUUUUUUUUUUACAUACAAUCGGUAUAAAUUAUUUUCGUGUAUCAUUCGCUACUACGAUUUCUAGACGUAUAAUAUAUUUUUGAAUAUGUACACAUAAUAUUCUGCAUAUGUAAACAAAACCGAUGUAUGUAAAUGCAUUUUUUUUUUUUUUUUUUUUUUUCUAAAUACUUGUAUGUUUCAUAUUAUAAUGUGUUCAAAUUUGUGAAAUGAUCGUGUUUGGCGGUUCCUAUGAAUUUUCGUGCUCGAACAAAACGUCCAACGCAAACAAUUGUUUCGAAACGUUGACUUUAAAAAAAAAAAAAAAAAAAAAAAAGAAAAAAAAAAAAAGGGAUAAAUUAUAUUCUUAUAACAAUAAUGAUAUUAUUACGCAUUUGAGCACAUUUCUUUUGGUAAAUUAUUUAUUACGUAUUUACUAUUAACUACACACAGAAAUAGCUGAAGGAGAUUAUCAUAGCUGAUUACAUUCUCAAUAUAAUUAUUAUUACUCGUUAAAAUUGUAAUUUUAUUUUUUAUUAUUAUUAUUGUUAGGUCGUCGCGUACAAUGACAUAAUAUUUGAAUUAUUGUCUUAGACGAAACCUCCAUAUUAUUAUUAUUAUUAUUAUAAAAUAAUAGAACUAGUUGAAAAACAUAUAUACUUACAUUAUAUAUUUUAUUUAUCACUCAAAUUUAUUCUAAAACUAAUUGUAAGUAAAGUAUAUUGUAUCGUGAUUAAUAUUAUUUUAUUGAGAUGUUUCUAAAUAUUGUUUUUUUUUUUUUUUAUGUCAAAAAUUAUUAUAAUAAUAAUAUUAUUAUUAUUAUUAUUAUAGUCUGCCGUUGUUGUUCCACUGAUCGUUUUGUAUUAUUAUAAUGCGUUAUAUUUUAUAACAGAACAGAACAACAGAACAGAUUGUAAAAUAAUAUUAUAGAAGAACUAAAUUUUUUUAAUUCGAUCUUAGUUUUCCAAAAUCAAAUUAUUUUAUGUAGUUAGGUUAUGGUAUAGUUCAACAAAUUAAAUAUGUAAAGUUUAAAUAUAUUUGACUGUGCUUAGUUUAUUUUUCUAUUAAAUAUUAUUAUUGUCGCGUCAUAAAAUGUAUAGGCGAUAACGAUUCCAUUGUAAAUUUUAAUAUGCUAAAAUUAACAUUCCAACGUUUCUAAAAAAAAUUUGAAAAUCCAAAAAAAAAAAAAAAAAGAAAUAAGAACGAAAUAUCGAGUACACGUGUAGUUGUAUAAUUUUUUAACUGUUAGUAAUUUUAUCGAUUUAUACUUAUAUAUAUAUAUAUAAAAAAAAAAAAAAAAAUUAUUUGUAUUUUAUAUCUUUUUUUUCUUUUUUAUAAUAUUAUAUUUAUUUUAUUUACUUAGGAGAGUAGUUUUAAUAAAAGUCGUUUAUAUUCUAGAGCUUGGCACUAACUUGUAUGAAAACGUAAAAGGCAACGAGACUGUAGAAGAAGCUCUGAGAUAUUAUAAAAAUAUUAUAUUAUAUUGCAUGCUAAAUUUUAAAAUUAUCGCAUAAAUUGUAUAUUCGUAUGUAUAUCUACGCGUAAGUUAGCAUGUGAAAGUUCCAUUUAUUUAUAUAACUAAACAUUUUUUUUCUUUUAUUAUUAUUAUUAUUAUUAUUUGUAAGUGAAAUCAAACCAAACGUACUGAUGAUUGCAUAUACCUAAUAUUAAUUACGGUUAUUAUAAAAUGGUUAAUAGUUUACAUAUUAAAUAAAAAAAAAAAA